UCGCCACCGUGGCCGUGCUGUGCCUGCUCAUCGCCGGCCGUGCGGACGGCCAGGACGAGUACAUCCCUGCUGCCGCGGGGAGCCAAGAGGUGGAGCCGCAGCCGGGGCUGCUGCCGGGGGCCUCCCUGGCCAAGGCGUUCACAGGCGGCUACUUCCCGCAGCAGCCCAAGGCCGAGCCAGAGCCGGAGCAGACGACCACGGAACCGGAGCCGGAGCCGGAGCAGACGACCAGGGAACCGGAGCCGGUCACGCCCACGCGCGACCAGGGCGAUUUCUACCGCACCGGCGUGACCCCGACCGCGCCGGAGCCGCCGGCGAUGCUAACCUCCCCGGAGACGUGGGAGAAGCCAUGGACGCCAUUUGUACCGCAGACGUCGGCGUUUGUUCCCAAGACGCCGGCGUAUGUGCCCAAGACGCCAUAAUUACCAUGGGCCUUAAAAUUAUUCCCUCCAUCAUGGUUUAAAAGCGCGUGUUUGAAAAUUCUCUCGAACCUAUGUGGUUAUUGAUUGACUGUGAGAUGGACAGAAAAAUAGCAUUCACAAUCGCAUGCAUAUAAAAGUAGUACUACAACGGAAUACUAAUUAGCUGCUAAGAGUAAAUGCAAUGCGCCUUAAACCUUGUUUAUUAUGGAAAUGAACGUAAAUUUAACCGUGCCUUCUAAACUGUGACGAAGGAAAUACAGACGAUGUAUCGAGGCUGAUGGGUCUUUUAAACCCGAACGAAAAUAGUAUUUAAUAGGUCUAAUCAUAGAAUAUACAUGUGCAUCAUCAUCACAUCAGUACCAAUAGUAACAUAAAACAUGACCUACAAAGAUAGACGAUCAUGAGGCAACACGAUAGAGAGAUGGAACUACUCCUCCGGUUUAGCAACAAUGAAACCGAGAAAGAUAAAUCUCCCAUCACGUCCAUGGCGGAGCACGAAGAUCAUCAUGUCUUCAAUAUCUAUGUCGUACAUACGACUACUUUGCUCCACCCAUUAAGAACUAUGCUUCCAUCUCCUUGUCACGAAUACGAGUAUGAAGUCGAACCGAGAUGUUAACACUAGGAUGGAACACAAUGGUUAUAGCUCUUCAUUUGCACUCAUCUCCUUAGGCACAGUAUUCACUCUGUAAUAAGCUAUCAAAAUAUUUGUAAAUAAGGUCACUUAAAUAUAGCAUCCGGAUGAAAUGUGAUUAUUUAAAUCUAGCUGUAAAUAUGGUUACUUAAAAUUAAUUGCUGGAUAUUUGCCAGAAUCAUUACACGGAUGAGUUAUUGUAUAUCACUAGCAAAAAGACCCGUGCGUUGCAACGGGAGAAAAAAAUCACCAUCUUCAAUGGCAAUGACCAUAUUAUGUUCAUAUCUCAUCGCAUGAUUUCAAAAACUUGUUCACAAAUGUAAGAAAAUAUUUCUUUUAUUUUAUUUUAUUCACAAUUCACAAGUUGAAACAAUGUUCAUAUUUUAAAAAAAAUAUCAUGGUUAUCAAAAAACUUGGUAACUCAAAGAAUUAUUCUGAAUUUCAAGAAACAUUUUAAAAAAUAUAGUAUAAUAUUCCGAUCCAUCAUCACAAUUAAUUCUUCAAAAUUCACUCAGGUAUAUAAUCUGAAAGACUCAGAAGCAUUACUAUUGAACGCCAUACAUUCGAUCUUUCGUGAACAUUUUUACAAAUUUGGGAAUAUUUUUAAAAUCAAGAACAUUCUUUACUAUUUAUAAACAUUUUUUUAAAAUUACAAAUAAUAUUUUAUAUUACAAACUGUUUUCAAGUAUUUUCUUGGGAAUUGGCGAAUAAUUCAUUUUUUGAAUUAUCCAACAUUUUUUUAAUUGCAUUAAAGAAAUUGCUAAAAAUGAUGGACUUUUUUUAUUCACGAAUGUUUUCUCCAAAAUUACGAAUUUUUUAAUAUGCAAUUUUUUUUACAAAAAUCCUGAACAAUUUUUUGAAUUCGCAAACAUUUUAUAUUUUAUCAAACAUUUAUGUAAAUAUUUAUUUUUUAAUUUCGAAAGUUUUUGUUGAUUUAUUUGAAAUAUAAAAAAUAAAAAGUAACAGAUAAAUAUUAAUUAAAAAACUAAAAAAAAGGCACCUGCCCAUGGGCUGGCCCAAAUGGGCGUGGUGCUUAUUUUCCAACGAGCAGAGCGUAGUAUAGCUGGUCCCUAUGCUUGGGCCGGCCCAUGCGAGAAUUACCUGCAAAACGUUUUUUAUAACUUAUAGGUGGCAUUGAUGGGUAAUUUUAAAGAAUUUUAGAGGCAAUUUUAAUAACGUACCACAGAAGCAAUAGGUGCUUUAUUAAUAGGGAUAGAUUGCUCAAACGUACUUAGAGGUGACGAUUAGGUUUUCCACCUAGUUCGAGGGAUAUCUCCACACGUACUUCGAACUGAUAUAUUUUGACAACUUCUUUCCAAAUACGUCAUGUGAAAAAUGUCUUAUCUUUUUAGUUCUAGACCCUGCAUACUCGAAAACAAAAGCUCUCUCAUGUCUUAGAUCUAUUUAUAACUUUACUCAUAUGCACUAUAACCCGUAGCAAUUACCUUUGUUUACACGUAUGAGGAAUUAGCAUGUGUGUUUGUCCACGUUCUUCUUAUCUUCUUCCUUUGGCAGUUAGGCCAUCCAUUAUUGUUGGCAAUAACAUGGUUUAGGACAUCCAUUUCAAUGUGGUUGGUGUUAGACAUUGUAUUACGUAUACACAUGGUAUAUGUAUAAACCAUGUGUAUUACGAUUGUAGGCAUGCGUGUGUGGUUUAAACUAGGGAUAUCUUGUUAGGGUCUAUCUCUUGUGUUUAACCUUGUAGAUAGAGAUAGAUCCUAACUCCUUGUUGUAAUCUCCUAGGUCUUGUGCCUUUAUUAACACGCACGUGUCCCUGCUAAACGCAUACGCUUCAGGCCUUUCUAUUCUCACAUGGUAUCAGAGCCUAUCUCGUUGCAAAACGGUUUGAACAAUGUUAUGGUCUUGAUUAUGAGGAUACUUUAAAUCCCGUUGUUAAAGCCGCCACCAUCAGAUUGGUUCUGUCUAUAGCUGUCUCUAGGAAUUGGUGUAUGCGACAGUUGGACGUUAAGAACGCGUUUUUUGCAUGGUGUUCUGGAAGAGAAUGUUUUUAUGCGACAGCCACCUGGGUAUACAGAUUCAAGGUUUCCGCACUUGGUCUGUAAACUGGAUAAAGCUCUGUAUGGUCUCAAACAGGCUCCCCGUGCAUGGUACUCUCGCUUGUCUUUCAAGCUUCAGUCUCUUGGUUUUCAACCCUCCAAGAGUGAUACCUCACUGUUUUUUUAUUCUCGGAGAGGGGUGACUAUCUUUAUGCUCAUAUAUGUGGAUGACAUUAUUGUUACUAGUUCCUCUGUACAAGCAGUUGAAGCCCUCCUCAGUGAUCUUCGCAUGGACUUUGCACUCAAAGAUCUUGGAUCCCUCCAUUAUUUUCUUGGUAUUGAGGUAACUUCUACUGAUAAUGGUAUUGCUUUAUCUCAAGGGAAAUAUUUGCUUGAUUUGCUUCAACGAGUCAAUAUGAAUGGUUGCAAACCUGUCAGUACUCCUUUGUCUACUUCUGAGAAGUUGUCUUUGUUUGAUGGACAUCCUCUUGGAGAUGGAGAUUCUACCAACUAUCGCAGUGUUGUUGGUGCUUUGCAAUACUUAACUCUUACUAGACCAGAUAUUUGUUGUUCGGUCAACAAGGUAUGUCAAUUCUUGCAUGCUCCAACCUCUGUUCACUGGACGGCAGUCAAACGUGUACUUCGUUAUUUACAAGGCACUAUCACCCAUGGUCUGCGUAUAUCUAAGUCUCAUUCCAUGUUAGUCAGCGCAUUCUCUGAUGCAGAUUGGGCUGGUUGCCCUGAUGACAGAAAGUCUACUGGUGGUUUUGCUGUUUUUGUUGGUAGUAAUCUUGUGUCUUGGACUGCACGAAAGCAACCUACAGUUUCUCGCUCCAGCACAGAGGCUGAGUACAAAGCACUUGCUAAUGCUACUGCCGAGGUAAUAUGGGUAUAGAACCUUUUGACUGAGCUGGGUAUUCCUCAUCCUAAGUCUUUCUCCCUAUGGUGUGAUAAUUUAGGAGCUACAUACUUAUCUGCAAAUCCUAUUUUUCAUGCACGGACAAAGCAUAUUGAAAUUGAUUAUCACUUUGUCCGUGAGAGAGUGGCUCAGAAACUGCUACACAUACGGUUUAUUCCCACUGGUGAUCAAUUGGCUGAUGGCUUUACUAAACCUCUUACUCUUCGCCAGAUGGAAGUUUUUCGUCGCAAUCUCAACUUGGACAAGUUGUGAUUGAGGGGGAGUGUUAGACAUUGUAUUACGUAUACACAUGGUAUAUGUAUAAACCAUGUGUAUUACGAUUGUAGGCAUGCGUGUGUGGUUUAAACUAGGGAUAUCUUGUUAGGGUCUACCUCUUGUGUUUAACCUUGUAGAUAGAGAUAGAUCCUAACUCCUUGUUGUAAUCUUCUAGGUCUUGUGCCUUUAUUAACACGCACGCGUCCCUGCUAAACGCAUACACUUCAAGCCUUUCUAUUCUCACAGUUGGUUCGAAAAAUAGCAGUGGCCACCAAUCCAUGCCGAAAUUAGCAUCUCUAUCCCGGUACAUAAACACGUACGCGCCAGCAUGCAAAAAAUUCUAAACCACCCACUUCCACGUUAACCGACCAUGCACGCCGAUCAGCUAGUACCGGCGGUCGUCGCCGUCGUGGCCGUGUUGUGCCUGCUCAUCGCCGGCCGCGCGGAUGGCCAGGACGAGUACGUCCCUGCUACCGCGGGGAGCCAAGAGGUGGAGCCGCAGCCGGGGCUGCUGCCGGGGGCCUCCCUGGCCAAGGCGUUCACAGGCGGCUACUUCCCGCAGCAGCCCAAGGCCGAGCCGGAGCCGGAGCAGACGACCACGGAACCGGAGCCGGAGCCGGAGCAGACGACCAGGGAACCGGAGCCGGUCACGCCCACGCGCGACCAGGGCGAUUUCUACCGCACCGGCGUGACCCCGACCGCGCCGGAGCCGCCGGCGAUGCUAACCUCCCCAGAGACGUGGGAGAAGCCGUGGACGCCAUUUGUACCCAAGACGUCGGCGAUUGUUCCCAAGACGCCGACGUAUGUGCCCGAGACGCCGGCGUUUGUGCCCAAGACGCCAUAAUUACCAUGGGCCUUAAAAUUAUUCCCUCCAUCAUGGUUUAAAAGCGCGUGUUUGAAAAUUCUUUCGAACCUAUGUGGUUAUUGAUUGACUGUGAGAUGAGCUGAAAAAUAGCAUUCACAAUCAAAUGCAUAUAAAAGUAGUACAACGAAAUACUAAUUAGCUGCUAAGAGUAAAUUCAAUGCGCCUUAAACCUUGUUUAUUGUGAAAAUGCACGUAAAUUUAACCGUGCCUUCUAAACUGUGACGAAGGAAAUAUAAACGAUGU
rnacentral:lncRNA from 1 species